AAAAGAUUUAUUGCUAUAAGAUUCACUUUUUUAAGAUUAGGUUUUUGAUGAAAUCAAGCCGAUGAUCUUUAAUUGGUCUGUAAGGAUGUUCAAUCACACUGGAACUGAGACAAGGUCCAGACUUUUAAGAAGGCUGCAGUGAGGAAUUUUAAACAAUGAGCGAAAGCUUGAUUUAGCAAGGUAAAGUGAAUGAU
rnacentral:rRNA from 17 species